GAUGAAGAACGUAGCGAAAUGCGAUACGUAAUGUGAAUUGCAGAAUUCAGUGAAUCAUCGAGUCUUUGAACGCACAUUGCGCCCCCUGGUAUUCCGGGGGGCAUGCCUGUCCGAGCGUCAUUGCUGCCCUCAAGCACGGCUUGUGUGUUGGGCCUCCGUCCUCCUCCCGGGGGACGGGCCCGAAAGGCAGCGGCGGCACCGCGUCCGGUCCUCCAGCGUAUGGGGCUUCGUCACCCGCUCUUGUAGGCCCGGCCGGCGCUUGCCGACACAUCAAUCUUUUUUCCAGGUUGACCUCGGAUCAGGUAGGGAUACCCGCUGAACUUAAGCAUAUCAAUAAGCGGAGGA
rnacentral:misc_RNA from 1 species